GUAAGUCUGGAGCAAAGGUUACAGACAUUAUUUUUAGUUAGAGAUUAUUGUCAUCCCUGACCUUGAGGAAGAGAGUAAUUCUAGUGGGGCAUGACUGCAGAAUCCAGAGGACAAAUAUUUAGGGAAUUGAGUGGGUGUACAGGAAAUAGUGGCUGACUAUUUUAGAUUCCUGUUUUGAGAAGAUGAGUGGUGAAAGGUCCCUGGUAGCAGGAACCAGGCUUCACCCUUCAUUGCGUUUAAAGAGACCACGUAGAAAAGUGAUUAUGGCCAGCGACUCUGAAGCCAAACUGCCUGGGUUCAAAUCUCAGCUUUGCCAUUGACUUACUAGCUCUGUAACCUUGGACAAUCUACUUAGUUUCUCUGUGCUCCAGUUUCCCCAUGUGUAAAAUCUUUCACUAAAGUGAAGGAGGGCUAAUGAAGAUAAAAAAGUUGUUCCCCUCAUGAUGGCCAGGCAGGAGGAGGAAGAAUCUGAGCACUCCAGGGUCUCAACAAGGAUGAGUAACGGCGAAUAAAUGUGAUUGCAUACUCUUUCCAUCAAAUAAAAACAUAUAAGAUAAAACAAACCCCAAAAGCCAAGUACUGUUUGAAGUAU
rnacentral:lncRNA from 10 species